rnacentral:rRNA from 1 species
UACAGAGGUCUCAAGCGUUGUUCGGAUUCAUUGGGCGUAAAGGGUGCGUAGGCGGCGGGGUAAGUCAGGUGUGAAAUCUCGGAGCUCAACUCCGAAACUGCACUUGAUACUGCCUUGCUCGAGUACUGGAGAGGAGAUUGGAAUUUACGGUGUAGCAGUGAAAUGCGUAGAUAUCGUAAGGAAGACCAGUGGCGAAGGCGAAUCUCUGGACAGUUACUGACACUGAGGCACGAAGGCCAGGGGAGCAAACGGG